UUUCGCAAUGCCCGAAAGGGUGACGAAGCGACGCCGCGUGUGGGAAGAAGGCCUUCGGGUUGUAAACCACUGUCGGGAGUUAAGAAAUGUAAGGGUGUUAAUAGUAUCCUUACUUGACUAAGGCUCCGGAGGAAGCCACGGCUAACUCUGUGCCAGCAGCCGCGGUAAUACAGAGGCGGCAAGCGUUGUUCGGAAUUAUUGGGCGUAAAGAGCACGUAGGCGGCUGUGUAAGUCGGUUGUGAAAGCCUUCCGCUUAACGGAAGAACAGCGACCGAUACUGCAUAGCUAGAGUGCGGGAGGGGAGAGUGGAACUUCUGGUGGAGCGGUGAAAUGCGUAGAUAUCAGAAGGAACGCCGGCGGCGAAAGCGGCUCUCUGGACCGUAACUGACGCUGAGUGUGCGAAAGCUAGGGGAGCAAACGGGAUUAGAUACCCCGGUAGUCCUAGCCGUAAACGAUGGGCACUAAGUAGAGGGGUUUU
rnacentral:rRNA from 1 species